UACGGAGGGGGCUAGCGUUGUUCGGAAUUACUGGGCGUAAAGCGUGCGCAGGCGGUUUUGUAAGUCUGACGUGAAAUCCCCGGGCUCAACCUGGGAAUUGCGUUGGAGACUGCAAGGCUGGAGUCUGGCAGAGGGGGGUAGAAUUCCACGUGUAGCAGUGAAAUGCGUAGGGAUGUGGAGGAACACCGAUGGCGAAGGCAGCCCCCUGGGUCAAGACUGACGCUCAUGCACGAAAGCGUGGGGAGCAAACAGG
rnacentral:rRNA from 1 species